ACGAACGCUGGCGGCGUGCCUAAUACAUGCAAGUAGAACGCUGAAGGAGGAGCUUGCUUCUCUGGAUGAGUUGCGAACGGGUGAGUAACGCGUAGGUAACCUGCCUGGUAGCGGGGGAUAACUAUUGGAAACGAUAGCUAAUACCGCAUAAUAGUAGAUGUUGCAUGACAUUUGCUUAAAAGGUGCAAUUGCAUCACUACCAGAUGGACCUGCGUUGUAUUAGCCAGUUGGUGGGGUAACGGCUCACCAAGGCGACGAUACAUAGCCGACCUGAGAAGGUGAUCGGCCACAGUUGGACUGAGACACGGCCCAGACUCCUAGGGGAGGCAGCAGGAGGGAAACUUCGGCAAUGGACGGAAGUCUGACCGAGCAACGACGCGUGAGUGAAGAAGGGUUUCGGAGCGUAGAGCUCUGUUGUGAGAGAAGAACGGGAGUGAGAGUUGAAAGGUCACGCUGUGACGGUAUCUUACCAGAAAGGGACGGCUAACUACGUG
rnacentral:rRNA from 1 species